UACAGAGGUCUCGAGCGUUGUUCGGAUUCAUUGGGCGUAAAGGGUGCGUAGGUGGCGCCGUAAGUCAGGUGUGAAAUCUCGGGGCUUAACUCCGAAACUGCAUUUGAUACUGCGGUGCUUGAGGACUGGAGAGGAGACUGGAAUUUACGGUGUAGCGGUGAAAUGCGUAGAUAUCGUAAGGAAGACCAGUGGCGAAGGCGGGUCUCUGGACAGUUCCUGACACUGAGGCACGAAGGCCAGGGGAGCAAACGGG
rnacentral:rRNA from 1 species